rnacentral:rRNA from 1 species
CUGCAACCUGCAACUCGACUCCAUGAAGUCGGAAUCGCUAGUAAUCGUGGAUCAGAAUGCCACGGUGAAUACGUUCCCGGGCCUUGUACACACCGCCCGUCACACCAUGGGAGUGGGUUGCAAAAGAAGUAGGUAGCUUAACCUUCGGGAGGGCGCUUACCACUUUGUGAUUCAUGACUGGGGUGAAGUCGUAACAAGGUAACCGUAGGGGAACCUGCGGUUGGAUCACCUCCUUA